AGGAUAUAUCAAAAGAGACUUUCUGGGGCUGUGAAACCAGGGGCUCAUAAAGCUAUGACCUAAGAUUGAAGUUUGUAUAGGAUGCCGUAGUCACUCAGUAGUGCUGUUUUCCUGAGAAAAUAAAAGA
rnacentral:snoRNA from 1 species